UCCCUCUGUGUACCAAACGUCCCCCCUUGGGUGCGGGCUUCGGUCUGCCCCAAGGCGUCGGUUCCCUGGCUGGGGUCUUCGGACCGCAGUUAGGUCCGGCGGGCGCGCCCUCUGGCGUGUCGGCCCUCGUGGCUGCCGCCAGUUGGGUUCGCUGGAAAUUGUAUCCAACUCAACCCACCCCAAACCACAACUUAUACUGAAGCAAUCGGUGAGUGCACUCUGGUGCCUCGCUCUAACCAAAGACAACUCUCAACAACGGAUAUCUUGGCUCCCGUAUCGAUGAAGAACGCAGCGAAAUGCGAUACGUAGUGUGAAUUGCAGAAUUCCGUGAACCAUCGAAUCUUUGAACGCAAAUUGCGCCCAAGGCUUCGGCCGAGGGCAUGUCUGCCUCAGCGUCGGCUUACCCCCUCGCUCCCCCUCUCCUUUGGAGUGGGUGAACGGAUCUGGUUUUCCCGGCUACGUGCUUCUGCACGCCCGGGUUGACUGAAGUGUAGAGGCUUGAGCAUGGACCCCGUUUGUAGGGCAAUGGCUUGGUAGGUAGCUUAGCUACACCGCCUGCCGUGGUCCGAGGGGACUUUGCUGGCGGCCCAGCAGGAAUUCGGGUGUUGGGUUUCCCACCCCGAAAGCUUCAAACCUUCGACCUGAGCUCAGGCAAGACUACCCGCUGAACUUAAGCAUAUCAAUAAGUCGGAGGAA
rnacentral:rRNA from 1 species